CUCAACUCAAGGAGACUGCUGAACUCUGUUUGGGUACACCUUCCCUAUGCUAGAGUUUGGAAGCACUUUCUGGGCAGUAAGAUCAUCAUCCCCAGGCAGCAUAGUGUUUCAGCUGUCUGUCCAACAAUGUGGCAGUCUUAGAUCCUUUCCUCCUUCACUCCAGUGCUGAGCUUGCUCUUGCUGGAUCUAUCCUAAAGUCCUCUGCACGGCGCAGCAGUGACUGCUCUAAACCGUAUAGUUUACCAUGCAUGAGCUUGCCCCGGCAGCAUUCUCAGCUUCUAGGACU